UUGUAAAUGAUGCUAAAAAGCCCUAGUAAAUUUCAUGUUCCAGUGAUCCCCCUUCCUCUGUGUCCUCGUUUGUCCCAGAGGAAGUUGGCUGGGGCAGGAAGGGUCAGCAGUUGUUCUCUUUGUCAGAGCAGCCAGGAAAAGUCUCAGGUUGCCUCUAAGUAGACCAGCUGUGUGUCAAGCUCUGUGCCAAAGGCAGGAGCUGCUUUUACUCCCUGCAGCAAGGCAAGCAUGUAAAGACCUGACAGACCAGCAUGGAGGGGAGGUGGGCAGCGCUGUGGGCUUUGGGAGGCAGGAAGGCUUCCUGGAGGAGGCGCUAUCCUGAAUUGUAGGCAGAGGAGGGAAGGUAAGAGGGGCUUCCCUGUUAGAAUAAGAUCAGAAGGGCCGGAUGUGGUGGCUCACACCUGUAAUCCCAGCACUUUAGGAGGCUGAGGCGAGCGGAUCACUUGAGGUCAGGAGUUUGAGACCAGCCUUGCCAACAUGGAGAAACCCCGUCUCUACUAAAAAUACAAAAAUUAGUGGGGCGUGGUGGCACAUGCCUGUAAUCCCAGCUACUAGGCAGGCUGAGGCAGGAGAAUUGCUUGAACCCAGAAGGCAAAGGUUGUGGUGAGCCGAGAUCAGGCCACUGCACUCCAGCCUGGGUGACAGAGUGAGACUUCACCUUAGAAAAAAAGAAAAAAAAAGGUGGGCUGUGUGGCUUCAAGGUGAGGUGUAUAAAGGAGACAGGGAGGCUCAGCACAGUGACUCACGCCUGUAAUUCCAGCAUUUUGGGAGGCCGAGGCAGGUGGAUCGCCUGAGCUCAGGAGUUCGAGACCAGCCUGGGCAACAUGGCGAAACCCCAUCUCUACCAAAAAUACAAAAAACCUGCCGGGCAUGGUGGCACAUGCCUGUAGUCCCAGCUACUCGAGAGGCUAAGAUGGGAGGAUCGCUUGAGCCUGGGAGGUGGAGGCUGCAGUGAGCCAAGGCUGUAGCACUGUACCACUGCUCUCCAACUUGGGUGACAAGAGUGAGACCCCGUCUCAAAAAAAGGAGACGAGGAGCUGGGAGAAGCAAGUGGUGGCCCAGUCAUGAGGAAAGGGAAGGGUUUGGAAGCCAAGCCAAGGAGUGUGGACUUUGUCCCAGAGGUAGUAGGGAGCCAUGGAGGGUUCCAGACCUGAACUGCACUUUAGAAAGUAUUGUCCUGGCUACAACUGGAAGAUGAGCUUAGAGUGUGAAGCUGGAGUCAGGGAGGUCCCUGUGAGAAAUGACACCAGGCCAAGAGUGACACAGUGAGAGAGGAUGGAGGGGAGGGGACAGCAGGAGAAAUGUCACAGAUCCUAUGAGAUUGAGAUUUUUUAUCUCAAUUAGACCCGGAAUAUAACAGUCAGACCUGGAAUGCUGGGAGUCAGUGGGGUUUUUGUGGCAAGUUUUGGGACAUCCUAGGGAGGGUCCCCAGGCAGCUGGAUAUGAGGCUAGAGCAGGAAAGGGCCAGAGUGAGAGAGGCUACAGGGUGGAUAUUGCAAAGGAGUCAGUGAAAAGUGGUCAGGGGCUGGGAGCGGUGGCUCACGCCUGCAAUCCCAGCACUUUGGAAGGCUGAGGCAGUCAGAUCGCUUGAGCCCAGGAGUUUGAGAACAGCCUGGGCAACGUGGUGAAACCAUGUUGAAUUUUUUUAAAAAUUCACAAAUUAGCUGGGUGCAGUGGCAUACGUGUGUGGUCCCAGCUACUCUGGAGGCUGAGGUGGGAGGAUCACUUGCACCCAGGAGGCGGAGAUAGAAGUGAUCCAAGAUCCCUGCCACUGCACUCCAGCCUGGGCAACAGAUUGAGACCUUGUCUCAAUCACACACACACACACACACACACACACACACACACACACACUCCAGCCUGGGAAACAGAUUGAGACCUUGUCUCAAUCACACACCAGCCUGGGCAGCAGAUUGAGUCCUUGUUUCAAGCAUACACACACACACACAUACACACACACACACACAAAGUGGCCAGGGCCCGGUGAGGUGGCUGACACCUGUAAUCCCAGCACUUUGGGAGGCUGAGUUGGGGGAUCAUUUGAGGUCAGGAGUUUGAGACCAGCCUGACCAAUAUGGUGAAACCACGUCUCUACUGAAAAUACAAAAAAUUAGCCGGGCGUGGUAACGCGCGCCUGUAAUUCCAGCUACUUGGGAGGCUGAGGCAGGAGAAUCGCUUGAACCCGGGAGGUGGAGGUUGCAGUGAGCUGAGAUCGUGGCACUGCACUCUAGCCUGGGCAACAAGAGUGAAACGCCAUCUC
rnacentral:sRNA from 1 species